rnacentral:rRNA from 1 species
UUAGUGGCGCACGGGUGCGUAACGCGUGGGAACCUGCCUUUAGGUUCGGAAUAACUCAGAGAAAUUUGAGCUAAUACCGGAUAAUGUCUUCGGACCAAAGAUUUAUCGCCUUUAGAUGGGCCCGCGUUAGAUUAGAUAGUUGGUGGGGUAAUGGCCUACCAAGUCGACGAUCUAUAGCUGGUCUGAGAGGAUGAUCAGCCACACUGGGACUGAGACACGGCCCAGACUCCUACGGGAGGCAGCAGUGGGGAAUAUUGGACAAUGCGGGAAACCGUGAUCCAGCAAUGCCGCGUGAGUGAUGAAGGCCUUAGGGUUGUAAAGCUCUUUUACCAGGGAUGAUAAUGACAGUACCUGGAGAAUAAGCUCCGGCUAACUCCGUGCCAGCAGCCGCGGUAAUACGGAGGGAGCUAGCGUUGUUCGGAAUUACUGGGCGUAAAGCGCGCGUAGGCGGCUAUCCAAGUCAGGGGUGAAAUCCCGGGGCUCAACCCCGGAACUGCCCUUGAAACUAGGUAGCUAGAAUACUGGAGAGGUGAGUGGAAUUCCGAGUGUAGAGGUGAAAUUCG